rnacentral:rRNA from 1 species
AUUGAACGCUGGCGGCAGGCUUUACACAUGCAAGUCGGACGAGUGGCGAACGGGUGAGUAAUAUAUCGGAACGUACCGAGUAAUGGGGGAUAACUAAUCGAAAGAUUAGCUAAUACCGCAUAUUAUUCGAGCGGCCGAUAUGGGAUUAGCUAGUUGGUGGGGUAAAGGCCUACCAAGGCGACGAUCAAUAGCGGGUCUGAGAGGAUGAUCCGCCACACUGGAACUGAGACGCGGUCCAGACUCCUAAGGGAGGCAGCAGUGGGUGAUAUUGGACAAUGGGCGAGAGCCUGAUGCAGCCAUGCGGCGUGUGUGAAGAAGGCCUUCGGGUUGUAAAGGACUUUUGUCAGGGAAGCGGUACCGGGAGAAUAAGCACCGGCUAACUACGUGCCAGCCGCCGCGGUAAUUC